GGUUGGUGUUGGUGGUUAGUACCGUAAGUGGCGGUUAAUUUCUUCGAAAUUAAUUUUUAUUUCAACUAAGUUUGGAAGUAUAGUAAAAAGUUACCACCACUUGUUUCCUGGAGUAAGGAUGGGAGUACCAUCAGUGGAAGAGGAAUAAAAAAUUAACCGCCAUUUGGAAGAAAACUAACCCUCAUGUGAUGUCGUACCCACCUUGACUACCUAGGGAAGCCACCUUGACCUUAUUGCAGCUACCGCCAAGUCAAACUGGGAGUAUGUUUUGGGAACAAGCUUUUUGGGGGACAUUCCAGCUCCUUUUCGUCCUGCCACCUGGGCCUACGGGGGGGCAUGGAGGUGCAUCAUAGUGAUGCUCAUUUUCUAGGAUGCAACCGCAACCUCGUUUGGGAACAUUUAGUGAGGAGUUUUAGUAACUAUUGGUUUUUUUUAUAUUUCAGACUAUCUGUUAAAUACACUAUGUUUUUUUUUUCAGAUUUAGGUUACCUCUGUUUUUUUUUGACAUAUGUAUUUGUAUAUUAGAUUAUUUGGUUCCCAAACUUUGUAUCUACGGUAACUUCUUGUGCACAGGAAUAAGCCUAGAGAAAAUUAGGUUUUUAAUACUUUAUUAUUGCUUUGAUAUUGGUUUAUGUAAUUCGGGUAAAUUUAUUUUGUAACAUUACUUGCUUGUUUCCCAAAUAUUGUAUUUAUUCGCUUUAUUUCGUUUGUUUGGUUACUUCGUCGUUACUUUAUUUCAUUGCAUUUGCUCGGUUAAUUUAGGUCAUUUUGUCGGUAUUUUUCUUAACUUCACUUCUAUAACGUUUAUUCAUUUGUAUAUUUAAUUUUGCUUUAUUCAGUAUUGUAUUUUCUCUUAGUGAGGCUUGGGCCUAUUUAUUUGUAUUAUUUUCAUCUUCGUCGGUUUCCUUUAGUUGUACGUAGCAGGCGUACUAUAACCAUUUGGUAGAAGACUUAUGUAAUUUUGUACCCUAUAUGUUAGUAAGAGGUACUUAUAUUUAAGUUUGUAACAGAUAACAUUAUUGUUGUUAUCUUUAAAAUAUAUAUAUCUUCUUGUAUAACUUAUGUCAUUUUAGAGUCACAGCAUAAUAUGAACUUGCUUAACUCAGAGAUUGUUAAAAAUCUGGUAGUUAUUUUUAAUAAAUAUGUUUAUUUAUUUUGUAUAUCAUUUAUUUUUAUUAUUCCUUUAUGUUCAUUAUUACAGGUUUGAUAUAUUUAAUAUCUGACAGCAGUAUAAGAUACCUGGGAGAAUGAUCGAAGAUCAUUUUCAUGGCGCCCAUGAUUUGUUAGAUUUAUUUAUCUUGUUCGUCUUUAGAAAUUAUUCAUCUUCAUUCCUCUUCAGUACAUUAUUCUUAUUUUAUUAUUUCAUAUUUUAGUCAUUAUUACUAUCUACAUAGAGCUACUGUUCUUCGACAGGCAUGCAAACGAGCCGUAUCCAUCCUUGAGUGUCAAGUUGCUCUCUUGCAUCUAUAGCUAGCCAACUCUAUUCAGUUUGCCUCUGUCUCUUCCCACGUCUACUUAUUAUCCCUUCUAAUUCCCCUUUCUUCAGUACUACUGCAAAGUAGUAUUUUUUAUUUUUCCUACUUCGGCUCAACCGCUGAAGCCCCUUCAUUUUUAUUUUCAUAAGAGGCCCCAACUAGUUACCUUAGUCUUUUCUUUUCUUCUUUUUUUUCCUUACUUCUGGAGUAUAUCUUUCUUUUUACUUUCACUCCAACAGAAGUUUUCUUAUUUUUGUUACACUGGCUGCCCAAUGCGUGGUGCCAACCGUUUAUGGUUCUAAGACAGUAGUUCUUUUAGUUCAAUUUUCUUUUAUUGGAAUUUUCUGUUUUAUUAACUUUUUGAUAUCUUUGUAUACAUGUUACUUCUGAUUUAUUUUUGGUCUUUAAAACUUUACGAAUACUAAACAGGUAGACUUAUGCUGCUUUUGGUUUUGAUUAGUUUAUUUCGAUACCUCAUUUUUAGUUUUAGUGGUACAGCUCAUAUGUUAGUUUGGAUUUUGUAUUUUUAUUGGAAACUUAUUUAUGUAUUUAGAUUGAGUAUACAUAACUGACAUUAUGUUCUAUUAGUUAAAUUUUUAUUCCUUCUACCAAUGGUAGUACGUUUGCGCGUACAAUUAAUCGUUGAAUAUAUGCAUACAUUUUUUUCUAGUAUGGUUAUAUUUUAUACAUAACUAGAAAUCAUUUUCAGUAUUUAGGUAUUUUAUUUACGCUAUUGAUUUGAUUAUUUAUAUAUUUUGCUGGCAUUUUGAUUUGUUGGUGUGUCGCUAAUAUUUUCUCCAUAUGUAUCUUUGUCUUACAAACUUUAGAUUAUAUUUUAUAUUUGUUAUUUUUGAUAUUUGGAUUGUUUGGUAAGACAGGCACACACCACAAAGCAAUAUCAGUCCAGAACAUUAGCUUCUAUACAUGAUACGUUGAAUUCGCAUGGUUCGGAUGAUUACAGAUGGUCAUCCAAAUUAUUUUUCUUUAAUUGGUAGUGUUAAACAUUACAAUGAUAAAUUGUAUAGUUAAGUAGUUCCACUAUCCAUCUCAUAUUCCAGUUUUGUUAAAUUUUGGUAAUAAUAUUAUAUCAGUGUGGGUACCAUAAUAUAAUGCUUAUAUGAAUCAGAUACUUUAGGUUGAGAUUCAAAUAUAAAUUCUUUAUUAGUUAGGAAACAUUGAUACUACUUUUCUAUUAAGUUAUAGAACAAUCUUCAGAAGAAGAUUACCUUAACAGUGUUGUUCAAGCUAAUCUCUUCUUCUGUUUGUCUUUAGCUUAGCUCAAUCUUUAGUAUGGUUAUAACUUUUAGUCCAAUAUUGUUUUUUUUAUCAUAUGAUAAUGCAGGUACCCACAUAAAUUGCUUGAUUUCAUCUUUGGCUUAGUUUUGAUGACAUUUAUUUAUUACUUAUUAAUUUAAUUAUUAUGUAGUACUUUAUGUAUGAGUUUAUUUUUUUUAUUAUUAGGUAUGGUGCAUUUUAAUUAUUAUUAUGAGUCAAUAUUAUUAAUUGCUGAUCCUGUCAGUAGGAUUAUCCAAUUAAUAAAAACUUCACUUGUAUUUUUGUUUAGUUUUUGCACACCUAACCCCCUAAGUUAGUAGGGUUGUUGAAUUAUUAUAUAUUUAUAUACUUAUUUGGACAGGUAAGCUCAUGCAAGUACUCUUGUUUAAUAUGGAUAUUAUUAUGGAACUGUAUGUUAUGCACUACUUAUUUCAGGUUAUGUGUUAUAUUAUUUGGAAUAUUUGAUUACUUACUAAUUUUUUUUGAUCAUAUUUAUAUCUUAUUAUUGAAUUUGCCAUAUUGGAAAUAUGUGGUUUUUAAUUUGUUAUUGGGUUACUCUAUUAACAUUAUUUGUCUCCAAUAUCUUAAACACUUUAUAAUAAUUUAUAUCCUUCUAUCCUACACAGUAUGAUUCUGGAAUUAGUUUGGAAUUUUGAUGUAAGUAUGUAUGAAUUUUUGAGUCUUUCAUAUUUCUUCUUAGAAACCACUUAGUCUGUUGAUGCUCAAAGUUGGUGAAUAGGUGGGUUCGAAGUUCAGCAAGGCGCCAUUGCUAUCCGAUUUCGCAAUCUAUGUCUUUCAUUGCAGAGUAGACAGAUGUUUAUCUAUCAUAAUAUUUCUGGUCAGGAAAUGCCUGCAGCAUGUCCUAACUAUUCUUGUCUAAUUAGUCCAAUUAUUCCAGUUACAUAUUUACAAUUUGAUAGGGAAGUAUUUAGUUUAUAUUUUAUCUCGUACUUCAUAGUAUGUUUGUUGUUGACUAUCCCUAUACGCAGUAGGUUUGUUAAGUCAGUAUUUGGAGUGUUUAGACAAAUGAGUUGUUCAUCAGAGUAUAUUCCCACUUCUUUCCUUAGGCAUUAGUUGCUAUUCAGAUUCUGGAAUAUUUCCUGAAUAAUUCCACGUAUGUGAGAACGCAUGAAUUUGCAGUUUUAUUUAAAAUUGUGCUCGUUCUCGUCAAUUUUUUUUCCUAUCACUUAUCAUGGUGCCAUAGAAUUGGUAAGUUCACCAUUUAUUCUUUUUCCUUUCUUACUUAUUCUUACAUUAUUAGUACUUUAUCUGUGUCUGGCUAUUCUCAUACAUCUGUUGUAGCAACAUGCUAUAGUUCGCGAAUACCAGCACAAAUUAAGUUCAGGUAGUUUCUAUAUUUUAGUCAAUAUACCUUAGGUAUUUAUCUUACUUGUGAUUUAGUUUGGUUACAUCUCUGUUACUUAGUCUGUUGGUAAUUUUUUUUUGUGACUUAUUUUGAUUACUUAGUUUGGAUAGGUUCAUAUUACCGGAUGAGGGUGUAUGUAGACCUAAUUUAUUUAUUUUGUUCAGUAUUAGUUACCAUUGGAUCCAAUAAUUUAGUUUAUUUAGUAUUAGUAAGAAUUGGUCCAUAAAUUUGCCUGAUCGUUCUUCUUUGGAUAUACUCCUAUAUAAAUCUGGUGUCCAUUGAUAGUCCGAUUCUGGAUAAGUGUCCGAUUCUUCAUUUAUUUUGUGUAUUUAGUUGGAUAGGUUCGUAUUACCGGAUGUGGGUGUACGUAGACCUGAUCUGUUAUGUGGUUUACUAUUGGUGUGAAUUGGUCCAUACAUUUGCCUGGUCGUUCUUCUUUGGAUAUGCCUUUUAUGAAUCUGGUGUCCACUGAUAGUUCGACUUUGGAUUAAGUGUCCGAUUCCACAUUUAUUUUGGUUAUUGAGUUUUGGAUUCCUUUGGUAUGUUUAUUAUUGGUAUUAUUUGACAUUAGUGAGAAUUGUUCCAUAAAUCUUCCUGAUUGUUCUUCUCUGGAUAUACUAUUAUGAAUCUGGUGUCCAUUGUUAGUUCAGUUUUGGAUAAAGUGUUCAAUUCUUUACCUAUUUUAGUUACUGAUUUUUUUUAUUCACUUUGGUACAUUUACUUUUGAUAUGGUUCGAAUUGGCUCACACCUUUUCCUGGUUGUUCCGUUCUUGGAUAUACCCUUUAUAAAUCUGAUGUCCAUGGAUAGUUCAAUUUUGGUUUUAGUGCCCAAUUCGACACUCAGUUAUUAUUAUGAACUUAAGUACAAUAUUUAGUUUUGUUUUGACUUUUGAGCAAUAUAUGUUAAUAUUUGGUAGCAGAGAGUAACAUAGUAACAUUUUAGUAUGAGUUUGAGUCAUGUAUUGAUUUAUUUUUCCUUGACCAUUAGUUUAUAUUUAGAAGUAAUCUUGCGAAUCAACGUGGAUUGUUAGACUAUUGUAAAUUUAGUUGUUAAUAUUUUGAAGUUUAAAAAAAAAAAAAAUUUUUUUUGGUUAAAAAAUUUUUUUCCCGAGUAGGAGGGGAUUGUAACGGUCCACCCGUUAUAUUAUCAUUUUUAGCGCUGUAAUUAUUUUUAAAAAAAUAAUUAUUUUCUCUUGACCUCCCAUUUAAAUUCUUUAAUUUAUCGUAAAGGACUUCUCAUGUGACGUCACACUGUACGGAACAUAGUUGUUGAACCGUUCCUUGUCGUUUAAUUCGUGUUCCGUGAGAGUUUGACGUUUUCCUCGCUGACUGUGGGAGGAAUGAGAGGCACUUGGCCGGUGGCUGCGAGGUUGACAGGUUGGUGUUGGUGGUUAGUACCGUAAAUGGCGGUUAAUUUCUUCGAAAUUAAUUUUUAUUUCAACUAAGUUUGGAAGUAUAGUAAAAAGUUACCACCACUUGUUUCCUGGAGUACGGGUUUCCUGGAGUAAGGAUGGGAGUACCAUCAGUGGAAGAGGAAUAAAAAAUUAACCGCCAUUUGGAAGAUAACUAACCCUCAUGUGAUGUCGUACCCACCUUGACUACCUAGGGAAGCCACCUUGACCUUAUUGCAGCUACCGCCAAGUCAAACUGGGAGUAUGUUUUGGGAACAAGCUUUUUGGGGGACAUUCCAGCUCCUUUUCGUCCUGCCACCUGGGCCUACGGGGGGGCAUGGAGGUGCAUCAUAGUGAUGCUCAUUUUCUAGGAUGCAACCGCAACCUCGUUUGGGAACAUUUAGUGAGGAGUUUUAGUAACUAUUGGUUUUUUUUAUAUUUCAGACUAUCUGUUAAAUACACUAUGUUUUUUUUUCCAGAUUUAGGUUACCUCUGUUUUUUUUUGACAUAUGUAUUUGUAUAUUAGAUUAUUUGGUUCCCAAACUUUGUAUCUACGGUAACUUCUUGUGCACAGGAAUAAGCCUAGAGAAAAUUAGGUUUUUAAUACUUUAUUAUUGCUUUGAUAUUGGUUUAUGUAAUUCGGGUAAAUUUAUUUUGUAACAUUACUUGCUUGUUUCCCAAAUAUUGUAUUUAUUCGCUUUAUUUCGUUUGUUCGGUUACUUCGUCGUUACUUUAUUUCAUUGCAUUUGCUCGGUUAAUUUAGGUCAUUUUGUCGGUAUUUUUCUUAACUUCACUUCUAUAACGUUUAUUCAUUUGUAUAUUUAAUUUUGCUUUAUUCAGUAUUGUAUUUUCUCUUAGUGAGGCUUGGGCCUAUUUAUUUGUAUUAUUUUCAUCUUCGUCGGUUUCCUUUAGUUGUACGUAGCAGGCGUACUAUAACCAUUUGGUAGAAGACUUAUGUAAUUUUGUACCCUAUAUGUUAGUAAGAGGUACUUAUAUUUAAGUUUGUAACAGAUAACAUUAUUGUUGUUAUCUUUAAAAUAUAUAUAUCUUCUUGUAUAACUUAUGUCAUUUUAGAGUCACAGCAUAAUAUGAACUUGCUUA
rnacentral:lncRNA from 1 species